ACUCAGCAACUUUACCUCUCCACAUGUUUUGAUAAAUCUCCCCCAUAGACUUAAUUAUCUUUACUGGUUGUUUGUAAUUGUAGGCAAAACCCAAGACUCUGUCCAUUCACCAUCGACCAAUAAAUGUAGGGCGGGGUUUAUGCAAAUUCACAUAGGCGGUACUGCCGUUUAGGGGCGGUUCUCCUUUUUGGAGGCGGUACUGCCAUUUGGGGGCGGUUCUUAAGAUCACUAGUAUUCACUGAGCUGACAGUUUGUAAGUAUCCCAGGUAAUAGAACAUCAUACUAUCUACUUCCGCCCUUCCCAUCAUGGCGGAUGUAUCUUUCCAGGUCAUCUGACCUCCUCGCCGGAAGUGAGAGAUUUCGCGGCGAAUUUUUCGUAUUGGAUAAUGGAGGGGAGCUGUGACAGCGUCCUUUCGGGUGUGGAGCCUGUGGUGAACCAGUGGGUGUUGGAGUACUUUUUUCAUCUUUACGUGGAUGCCUUUAAGAGCUGCAGAAAUGAGGACUUUGUACAGAUUCGGGAUAUUGUCUCAAUUUUAAUCCAGCGAAGGUUAAAAUGUGGGGAACAGAACUCCCAGGUUCUACGUAUCAUGCAGCUUCUGUCCUGUAUUGAAGAAGGGGGGGAUCUUGACUGUACAUUUGAUGAGGAAAAUAACGAGACUCCUCUUGAAUCUGCUAUUGGAAUACUGGAUGCAAUGAAUCAGGAAAAGGCCUUCCCUGCAGAUCUUAUCAAUACAAACAAGCAAAUGCUUAAAGAAGCAGCAGUGGUCGCCUGUAUACAAAAGCAGCAGUUUGGCAGAGCCAGGAGUAUCCUGAAGAAACACCUUACUAACGGCAGAAGUACAAGAACACUACGUGCAGAACUUAUGCAUAUUAUCCAGGAGAGGGACCUAAAACAUCCCCUGAUUGCUAACUUUUCCUUGUCUACAAUCAAAGAGAAGGUUUACAGUAUGUUUAAGAACCAGAUUCAGAAUAUCCCGACAUUUCUGUUGACUCUUGCACAGAAAGAUCCUUUCUAUUUAAACGGAGAGUCCAAGGAACCUUGCACGCCAGAUAAACCACUAGAGAAGAGUAUGGAAAGUGUUUCUCCCCAGGAUGAGGCCUCACCGUCAGAUUUGUCUUCAGCAUCCCAGAGCAAAGAUGUCACUAGUCCAGCAAAGGAAAUGGGGUCAGAAGUAGACUGUGGUCCCACUUAUAGCCUGUCUGCUAUAAGAUCUAAGUUUUUAUUACUCUGUCAAGAUGAGAACCCUGAUGUUAAAUUCAGACACCUAUGCAAGACAGACUUCUGUAGAGAAACCUCUCAAAAUGUUUCUGCUAAAACUCAAACAAGUAAGAGCCCCCGUGCUUGCUCCCCCAGAGCGGAUAUUUCAGUUACAAGUGAGAUGGGAAAACAAAGAUGUCUGACUCUCCACCAGUUAGUCAUGGAACCAGACAGUCAGCAGGAUAGUGAAACUGAAGAGGAACAUAAACAGGAGAUGGAGAGUGCAAUAAAGCCCCAGCAACAGAAGCGCAGAAAUGCAAGUAUACGAAAUUUGUUCAACUCACCCACUACAAGCAAAAGGAGGAAAACAUUAUAUUGAAGGUUAUGUCGUCCAGCCUGAAGCCAGUCAUCUCUAUGCAAGUCAUUAGGGUCAGUCACAUAUCUCUGUUCCAGCUCAGAACAGCACAACGCUAGGUUAUUUUCCUCACGCACCGCUUCCCGCUUGAGGUAUGAAAUGGCUGAUUGCAGGCGGCCCCUCAAGAACGCCAUAGCUGCUCCCAUACUACCAGUUUAUCCUCAGAAUCACUAUGAGCACUCAUGAACAUCUGUAAUUGCAAGGGGACACUGUCAUGAGGACCUAAAAGGGACAACCAGUAUGUGAUGAAACGCCAACUCCUAACAUUAGGGGGCCCCGGGAGUUCUAAGGUCAGCAACCGCAGUGAGUGGUCAGACACACCACAGGUGACACAUGCUCGGAAUUAUAACCGGUAGCCUGACAAGAGUAUGUGGGUGCAGAUGUCUGUAGAUAUCUGCCCAUCCCAACUCAGACAGAAGAGCUGGAAGCGUGGUAGGAGAGGCCUGAGGUGCCGCAGCAGAGCCACAUCUGUCCAAGCAGGGAUCCAAUACACUAUUAAAAUCGCCCAUACAUAGAAUCUUGACCCCAGGUAAAGAAACAGCAAACACAACUGCAAGGUGAAGCACCACAAGAGAACCCGGGAGGGCACAUAGACUCCUAAGAGUACAUAAGGGGAAUUAUCUAUAAGAGAGGAAAUAAAAACAUAACUACCAUCUGGGUCAAUUUGGGUCUAGCGUAUCACCUCAUUUCAGAGAUUUAUGUAUCAUGUAGGAGACACCCCUAGAGUGAGAGAUGUGACAUGAAUGUAGGGACCAUUGCACCCACGGCCGUCAUAGCCAGCGGGUGUUGUCAGAGGUCAGAUGUGUCUCCUGCAGGCAAACAAUAAAGGGAUUGUACUUACGAAUAGUCGCAUAUACCAGGGAUCGCUUACAAGGGCAGCCCAGGCCUCUCACUUUUCACGAAAGGCACCUCACAGUAGCCAUGGGAUCAGUACAGGGCAGGAACUACAGGGGAAACAAAGAGUAAGAGUGGAUAGCAAGUCCAACCAAAAAAGGAAAAGAAAAAGUUUGAAGACGAGUGAGCUCACAUAAAGACAAGACAUAGACACAAAGAACCAACAGAAAACAAAGAUGUGAAUCCACGGACCAGGGGUCGAUGGGGUCAAAAACUAUACUAAACUACUAUACUCCCCUUCUGUGCGUCUAGUAUAAACGGGCACGGCACAAGGGGGGGAUAAGAGGGCAUGAACAAAGUCCAAUGUAUAGAGGGAGAGGGCAAAAGGUAUCACCAUGAGGGCAGCAGACCUCCGUGUAUAGGAAGGAGCCUGUGGCCCACUUGCAAGGCGUGAAUACGGCAGUGUGAGGCACAAGUAAGCAUAAGGUUAUGCCGAGGCGAGAAACUCAUGGUCGGACAUUGAGUCUAUGGGAUGCCCACUCCUCUGCCUCCUGUGGUGUCAGGAAGAAAAUGGCACGUUCACCGUCCACCACACGGAAACAGGCAGGAUAAAUCAUGGAAUAUGGUAUGGCCAUCUUGCGUAGCUUCCUCUUGAUGACUUGAAAGGUGGCUCUUCUGCAGGUCUGGGGAGAAGUCUGGAAAUAUGGAAACCGGGUACCCAUUGUAGGUGAUCUCCGGCAGGUGACGGAGAAGGCGCAGAGCCAAGUCCUGGUCACUGCAAUUAAGCAUUCGGGACAGGAGUGGCCUCUGUGGGGCCCCUGAGGGCAGAAUUGCGAUGGUCUCAACCGCAAAGGCCGACGAGAAGGGAGCGUCCAGCAAGAGCUUCCUCAACCACCGCUCCACAAAUGGGCCCGGGUCCUGGCCCUCAGAUCGCUCGGAAUAGACAAUGAUUUCUCUGAAAAUUCCAGUAUCCAUGAAGAGCAGGACACGUGGAGCGAUGAGGAUGAAUUGUUUCAAUCAAACAGAUCUCUAAAAUCUGGCAACAGUGCAGGCACUCCUGGAAGAAAAAAG